UUUUUUUUUUUUUUUUUUUUGUAAUACCAUUCUAAUUGAUCUCUAUUUGAUAUUUGAGAGUGAGUGAAUUUACUUCCACCUGUGAAGGAAUCUAAAUCUUAAAGAGAUGGUAUGUAAGGAGAUCAUCAAAGAUUAACUUUAACUCUCCCUUAGUUUCUUCUGACUGAGCCCCGGGUGCCCUUCCCUUUGGUUUCUUUGGAGUUUCAUAUUGUUAUUACCUUCCUGGUUAGGCUGAGAUCAUGUGUUUAUUUCCAAGAGAUGCUAACAUCUGUAAGUUGCGAAAUUACCCUCACCGAUAUGAUAAUGUUUGACAAUCCAACUUAGUGGCACUUAUUCACUGAAAAUCAAAGGCCAUUAGUAUCUCCAUUCAUUCAUUCAUUUGUUCCAAAUUUUACCAUGAGUUUAUUCUUCCCAGCACAGUGUAAUUGAAGUUUCUGAGAUGAUGGACUAUUCCAUAUCUGCUUGAUCCAUUAUAUUAGCCAUUAGCCACAUGUAGCUAUUGACUAUGUACAAUGUGACUAUUUCAACUGAGUAAGUCACGAGAUUAAUAGGCACAGCAUAGGGAAUAUAUUCAAUGAUACUUUAAUAGCAGGUUUAGACAAAUACACUAAGAAUCUGUUCAUCAUCUUUAUCCCAGUUAGUAUGGUCAUUAAAAAUGGCACAUGAGUACCACUUGUAAUAAAGAGGAGUACAGGUGUGCCUGGGUGGCUCAGUCAGUUAAGCGUCUGCCUUUGGCUCAGGCCAUGAUCCCAGGGUCCUAGAAUGGAGCCCCACAUCGGGCUCCCUGCUCAAGAGGGGAAUCUGCUUCUCCCUCUGCUCUGCCCCCUCCACUUGUGUGCUCUCUCUAAUAAAUAAAUAAAUAAAAUAUUUAAUAAGAAGUAGAGUAUAGGUAGGUGCUAAUUUCCACUAAAACACAAAGAGAAGAGAGAUGAGCUUCCUAGGGGAAAAUUAGGAAAUGCCUCAAAAUGGAGGUAACCAUUAAAUUAUAUCUUGAAAGAUGAAUAUGACCUCACUAAAUAGAGGAGAAGGGUAUUUUAAGAGGAUAGAAAGGCAAAGGCAAUUAGCUGGAAACCAAGUGCUGUGUUGAGGGACAGUAAGUGUGUGGUACAGUGAAAGAGACACUAUGCCUAGCGGGGAAGUGAGAAAAAUGGAAAGAAGUUAGAAUAAUAGUCCCAGAUCUGAGCGUGAAGGGCAGAGUCCAGAAAGUGGCAACAAAAGAAAUGAAUAAGAAAAGGUAAACUGUGACUUUGCUCUUUUCCUAAGUAGUUCCUUUCCUUGCUCCAAGUUAUGACCAAAACAUUAAUUGGAAAAACUGGAAUUAACGGGCUGGGUGUAAUUUGUAGUGUAGGCAGAGGCUUUUCUUUAAAUGUUUUUGCCUUUUUUUCAGAGAAGCUUAUAAAUAGAAGAUUCUUUCAUUGGCCAAACUGGACCAUUCUUAAACUCUCUUAAAUUAAUACAAAAAUCUCUUAAAUUAAUACCCAAUAUUUAAAUAAUCCAAGCCUUGGCUUAGCGCCAACCACAGUUGUGUGGUAUUUUCUUGUCCAUUAUAGGAUAAAAAGCAAAUUCUUACAGAAACUGGCUAUCACUAUAUAUAAGCAGGUAAAGUGGUUUUACAGUCCCCCUAGUUCCUCAUUCCAAGGUAAAAUGUAAUAUGUACAGCGCACUGCAAUAAUUUCCUAUCUAAACUUUUUGCCAUUGUUUUAAUAUUUUAAGUGCUUAUUCAAGGGAUAUGCAUCAAUCAGAAGCUAUUGGCUGUUGUGCUAAAAUAUCGUUCCUCCUAUGGGUUAUAUAAUUCACCUGGCAAAUGGUCAAUCACGCUUCAUUCCUGAGUGAAUCAUGAUUCUGCCUUUGAUCUACUUUGCUAGUCUUACAAACAAGGAAAGUGUGUCUUUGGGAUAUUCAUUAAUAUUCUCUGUAAGAACUAAAACUGAACUAAAUUAUGCUAGGCAUAGCUAAAGGACUCAUUACGCAUGAACAAUUCACAAACCAUUUAAAGAGAUUAUACAGUUUGUCAUAAAAAGCACUGGUCUUUAAUUCUAACUGAAUAUAAACCUAUUUGGGUUGAAAUCUUAAUUAAUGAUUUUACUCUGGUUCAUUAACAUUGUGAUGUUUCCUCAAGAUAAUGGUCCACAUACCAACCUGGCAGACAAUGACCAGAAAAAAUGUGUCUCAAAUGCGGACAGGUGCCAAGUAGCCUUGUAGGCAAAAAAGGAAUCCAACCACAUAUGGAACAUUCAUACGUGACAACCACAGUUCUCAGCACAUGAAAACUAAAAUCAAUUCUAGAUAGAUCAAAGAGCUGAAUGUAAAAAGCAAAAUUUGAAAACUUAAAAAUAUAUGAGAAUAUUUUAUGACUUCACCAUAAGGAAUGGUUUCUAAAACAAGACAUAAAAAAGAGAAAACAUAAUGUAAAAGUUUUAUUACUUUUAAUGAAACAAAAUAUACUUAAAAAAAUAAGACACACUAAAAAACCCAGAAAAAAUAAGAUGCAGCCCAGGGAAAAAUAUUUUCAACCAAAUAGUUUAACCAAAAAUGAGUUUGGAUGUAGGAUAUAUAAAGGACUUCUAUAAAUCUACAAGAAAAAGAUAAAUAUUUCAGUUAAAAAAAAAAAAAAAGGUAAAAUCUUUUUUGAGUAAUUCACAGUGAAGACAGCUGAAUUCUCAAUGAAAAGAUGUUCACUGCACAAUCAGGAAAGAAAAAUGAAAACUAUUCAAUUGGUAAAAUUGACAAUAUUAAAUUUUGCCAAGUGUAGACAGAAUGGUAGUUCUCACAAAUGUGCUUGGUAAGUAUAAAUGCUACAUGUGUUGUGUGGGAUUUGGGCAAUACCUGAAUACAGGAAAUCAGUAAAUUCCACAUAAUCAAACAAUUUCAUUCUUAGGCAUAUCCAUGAAAAAAAGAAUUGUAUACAUUCCCAGUGAUGCAUGCACAUGCACAUGCAAAUCAUUGCUACACUGUUAUAGAAAUUGGAAGUGCCUAAUUGUGGUAGAUUUUAAAAAAUGGAAUACUAUACAGCAAUGAAAAUGAAUGAAUCAAGUCUUCCUGCAUUGACUUAAAUCACAAAAAUCAAUAUUCCUGAGAAUGCACAUGGUAUGUUACAACUUAUUUAAAUAAUAUAGUUAUUUAAUACAAUACUAUACAUGAAGGGUGUACAUGUAUCAAAAGUUAAUACAUGGGGAUGAAAAUAACAAAUUUACUAUUAAGUUACCUCUUGGAGAGAGAUGGAAUCUGUGCACAAAAGGUUUAAAUUUUGUUUACUAUGUUUUUACAUAAUCCAAGUGGUAAUUUACAGACAUUUGCUUCUCUCUAUUUUCUCCAUCUCUGCCAAACAUGUCAUAAUAUCACAAAGUCAGAGUCAGUAAAGUUCCAAAUACUCUACAUUAUAGCAUCUCAACUCUACAGGCCAUCUUCUUAUGUGAUUAUUGAAAUUGUGCUCUUAACCAGUAUGUCCUUCUGAUGCAGGAGUCUCUUGCUUCAUUAAAAAUGAAUCACAUGGGGAUCCCUGGGUGGCGCAGCAGUUUGGCGCCUGCCUUUGGCCCAGGGCGCGAUCCUGGAGACCCGGGAUCGAAUCCCACGUCGGGCUCCCGGUGCAUGGAGCCUGCUUCUCCCUCUGCCUGUGUC
rnacentral:lncRNA from 1 species